rnacentral:rRNA from 1 species
AACUAACGCUGGCGGCGUGCCUAACACAUGCAAGUCGUACGAGAAAGCCGGCUUCGGCUGGUGAGUAAAGUGGCGCACGGGUGAGUAACGCGUGGAUAAUCUGCCCUUAAGUGUGGAAUAACGUACCGAAAGGUGCGCUAAUACCGCAUAAUGCCUGGCAACACAAGUUGUCCGGCCAAAGAAGGCCUCUGUUUACAAGCUUUCGCUUCAGGAUGAGUCCGCGUACCAUUAGCUUGUUGGUGGGGUAAUGGCCUACCAAGGCUGCGAUGGUUAGCUGGUCUGAGAGGAUGAUCAGCCACACUGGAACUGAGACACGGUCCAGACUCCUACGGGAGGCAGCAGUUAGGAAUAUUGGACAAUGGGGGCAACCCUGAUCCAGCCAUGCCGCGUGUGUGAAGAAGGCCUUAGGGUUGUAAAGCACUUUCGGCUGUGAAGAUAAUGACAGUAGCAGAAGAAGAAGCUCCGGCUAAAUCGUGCCAGC